rnacentral:rRNA from 1 species
AGAGUUUGAUCAUGGCUCAGAUUGAACGCUGGCGGCAGGCCUAACACAUGCAAGUCGAGCGGUAGCACAGAGAGCUUGCUCUCGGGUGACGAGCGGCGGACGGGUGAGUAAUGUCUGGGAAACUGCCUGAUGGAGGGGGAUAACUACUGGAAACGGUAGCUAAUACCGCAUAACGUCGCAAGACCAAAGUGGGGGACCUUCGGGCCUCAUGCCAUCAGAUGUGCCCAGAUGGGAUUAGCUAGUAGGUGGGGUAACGGCUCACCUAGGCGACGAUCCCUAGCUGGUCUGAGAGGAUGACCAGCCACACUGGAACUGAGACACGGUCCAGACUCCUACGGGAGGCAGCAGUGGGGAAUAUUGCACAAUGGGCGCAAGCCUGAUGCAGCCAUGCCGCGUGUGUGAAGAAGGCCUUCGGGUUGUAAAGCACUUUCAGCGGGGAGGAAGGCGUUAAGGUUAAUAACCUUGUCGAUUGACGUUACCCGCAGAAGAAGCACCGGCUAACUCCGUGCCAGCAGCCGCGGUAAUACGGAGGGUGCAAGCGUUAAUCGGAAUUACUGGGCGUAAAGCGCACGCAGGCGGUCUGUCAAGUCGGAUGUGAAAUCCCCGGGCUCAACCUGGGAACUGCAUUCGAAACUGGCAGGCUAGAGUCUUGUAGAGGGGGGUAGAAUUCCAGGUGUAGCGGUGAAAUGCGUAGAGAUCUGGAGGAAUACCGGUGGCGAAGGCGGCCCCCUGGACAAAGACUGACGCUCAGGUGCGAAAGCGUGGGGAGCAAACAGGAUUAGAUACCCUGGUAGUCCACGCCGUAAACGAUGUCGAUUUGGAGGUUGUGCCCUUGAGGCGUGGCUUCCGGAGCUAACGCGUUAAAUCGACCGCCUGGGGAGUACGGCCGCAAGGUUAAAACUCAAAUGAAUUGACGGGGGCCCGCACAAGCGGUGGAGCAUGUGGUUUAAUUCGAUGCAACGCGAAGAACCUUACCUGGUCUUGACAUCCACAGAACUUACCAGAGAUGCAUUGGUGCCUUCGGGAACUGUGAGACAGGUGCUGCAUGGCUGUCGUCAGCUCGUGUUGUGAAAUGUUGGGUUAAGUCCCGCAACGAGCGCAACCCUUAUCCUUUGUUGCCAGCGGUCCGGCCGGGAACUCAAAGGAGACUGCCAGUGAUAAACUGGAGGAAGGUGGGGAUGACGUCAAGUCAUCAUGGCCCUUACGACCAGGGCUACACACGUGCUACAAUGGCAUAUACAAAGAGAAGCGACCUCGCGAGAGCAAGCGGACCUCAUAAAGUAUGUCGUAGUCCGGAUUGGAGUCUGCAACUCGACUCCAUGAAGUCGGAAUCGCUAGUAAUCGUAGAUCAGAAUGCUACGGUGAAUACGUUCCCGGGCCUUGUACACACCGCCCGUCACACCAUGGGAGUGGGUUGCAAAAGAAGUAGGUAGCUUAACCUUCGGGAGGGCGCUUACCACUUUGUGAUUCAUGACUGGGGUGAAGUCGUAACAAGGUAACCGUAGGGGAACCUGCGGUUGGAUCACCU